CCUACGGGGGGCUGCAGUGGGGAAUAUUGGACAAUGGGGGCAACCCUGAUCCAGCCAUGCCGCGUGUGUGAAGAAGGCCCUCGGGUUGUAAAGCACUUUCAGUGAGGAAGAACGCCUGGUGGUUAAUACCCAUCAGGAAAGACAUCACUCACAGAAGAAACACCGGCUAACUCCGUGCCAGCAGCCGCGGUAAUACGGAGGGUGCGAGCGUUAAUCGGAAUUACUGGGCGUAAAGCGCGCGUAGGUGGCUUGAUAAGCCGGUUGUGAAAGCCCCGGGCUCAACCUGGGAACGGCAUCCGGAACUGUCAAGCUAGAGUGCAGGAGAGGAAGGUAGAAUUCCCGGUGUAGCGGUGAAAUGCGUAGAGAUCGGGAGGAAUACCAGUGGCGAAGGCGGCCUUCUGGACUGACACUGACACUGAGGUGCGAAAGCGUGGGUAGCAAACAGGAUUAGAUACCCCAGUAGUC
rnacentral:rRNA from 1 species